UACGUAGGCAGCGAGCGUUGUUCGGAGUUACUGGGCGUAAAGGGUGUGUAGGCGGUUUGUUAAGUUUGGUGUGAAAUCUCCCGGCUCAACUGGGAGGGUGCGCCGAAUACUGAAUGACUUGGAGUGCGGGAGAGGUGAGUGGAAUUCCUGGUGUAGCGGUGAAAUGCGUAGAUAUCAGGAGGAACACCGGUGGUGUAGACGGCUCACUGGACCGUAACUGACGCUGAGACACGAAAGCGUGGGUAGCAAACAGG
rnacentral:rRNA from 1 species